CCAAUAGCGUAUAUUAAAGUUGUUGCAGUUAAAAAGCUCGUAGUUGAAUUUCGGGAUCAAUACGUCGGUCGUGCCUUCGGUACGUACUGGCGUCGUUGAUUUCUCCCUUCUGAUGAACCAUGAUGUCAUUAAUUUGGUGUUGUGGGGAGUCAGGACUGUUACUUUGAAAAAAUUAGAGUGUUUAAAGCAGGCAAACGCUUGAAUACAUUAGCAUGGAAUAAUGAAAUAGGACGUUCGAACCUAUUUUGUUGGUUUCUAGGUACAACGUAAUGAUUAAUAGGGAUAGUUGGGGGCAUUAGUAUUCAAUUGUCAGAGGUGAAAUUCUUGGAUUUAUUGAAGACUAACUACUGCGAAAGCGUUUGCCAAGGAUGUUUUCAUUAAUCAAGAACGAAAGUUAGGGGAUCGAAGACGAUCAGAUACCGUCGUAGUCUUAACCAUAAACUAUGCCGACUAGGGAUCGGAUGAAGUUAAUUUUUUAAUGACUCAUUCGGCGCCUUACG
rnacentral:rRNA from 1 species